AGUGAACGCUGGCGGUAGGCCUAACACAUGCAAGUCGAACGGCAGCACAGUAAGAGCUUGCUCUUACGGGUGGCGAGUGGCGGACGGGUGAGGAAUACAUCGGAAUCUACUUUUUCGUGGGGGAUAACGUAGGGAAACUUACGCUAAUACCGCAUACGACCUACGGGUGAAAACAGGGGAUCUUCGGACCUUGCGCGAUUGAAUGAGCCGAUGUCGGAUUAGCUAGUUGGCGGGGUAAAGGCCCACCAAGGCGACGAUCCGUAGCUGGUCUGAGAGGAUGAUCAGCCACACUGGAACUGAGGCACGGUCCAGACUCCUACGGGAGGCAGCAGUGGGGAAUAUUGGACAAUGGGCGCAAGCCUGAUCCAGCCAUACCGCGUGGGUGAAGAAGGCCUUCGGGUUGUAAAGCCCUUUUGUUGGGAAAGAAAAGCAGCAGGUUAAUACCCCGCUGUUCUGACGGUACCCAAAGAAUAAGCACCGGCUAACUUCGUG
rnacentral:rRNA from 1 species